rnacentral:rRNA from 1 species
AGUGAACGCUGGCGGUAGGCCUAACACAUGCAAGUCGAACGGCAGCACAGGAGAGCUUGCUCUCUGGGUGGCGAGUGGCGGACGGGUGAGGAAUACAUCGGAAUCUACUCUGUCGUGGGGGAUAACGUAGGGAAACUUACGCUAAUACCGCAUACGACCUACGGGUGAAAGCAGGGGAUCUUCGGACCUUGCGCGAUUGAAUGAGCCGAUGUCGGAUUAGCUAGUUGGCGGGGUAAAGGCCCACCAAGGCGACGAUCCGUAGCUGGUCUGAGAGGAUGAUCAGCCACACUGGAACUGAGACACGGUCCAGACUCCUACGGGGGGCAGCAGUGGGGAAUAUUGGACAAGGGGCGCAAGCCUGAUCCAGCCAUACCGCGUGGGUGAAGAAGGCCUUCGGGUUGUAAAGCCCUUUUGUUGGGAAAGAAAUCCAGCUGGCUAAUACCCGGUUGGGAUGACGGUACCCAAAGAAUAAGCACCGGCUAACUUCGUGCCAGCAGCCGCCGUAA